AGUAGUUGAUCAUGGCUACAGAACGACGCUGGCGGCGCGUCUUAAACAUGCAAGUCGAACGAUCUGUAGCAAUACAGGGAGUGGCGGACGGGUGAGGAACACGUAGGAAUCUACCUUGAAGAGCGGGACAACUUUGGGAAACCGGGGCUAAUACCGCAUAGUACAGAGAUGUUAGAGGGCUAGCAAUAGUCGCUUCGAGAUGAGCCUGCGGUCUAUCAGCUUGUUGGUGAGGUAAUGGCUCACCAAGGCUACGACGGAUAGCCGGUCUGAGAGGAUGAUCGGCCACACUGGCACUGAGACACGGGCCAGACUCCUACGGGAGGCAGCAGUUAAGAAUCUUGCGCAAUGGGGGAAACCCUGACGCAGCGACGCCGCGUGAAGGAUGAAGGCUUUCGGGUUGUAAACUUCGGUAGACUGGGAAGAAGAACUACGUUCGUUGAGGGCGUAGAGUGACGGUACCAGUCUGAAGCCCCGGCUAAUUACGUG
rnacentral:rRNA from 1 species